GAUGAACGCUAGCUACAGGCUUAACACAUGCAAGUCGAGGGGUAACGAGAGGAAAGCUUGCUUUCCCUGUCGACGACCGGCGCACGGGUGAGUAACGCGUAUCCAACCUGCCCCCAACUAGGGAAUAACCUUGCGAAAGUAAGACUAAUACCCUAUAAUUUCCUCAGAUGACAUCUGACGAGGAAUAAAGAUUUAUCGGUUGUGGAUGGGGAUGCGUCUGAUUAGCUUGUUGGCGGGGUAACGGCCCACCAAGGCAACGAUCAGUAGGGGUUCUGAGAGGAAGGUCCCCCACAUUGGAACUGAGACACGGUCCAAACUCCUACGGGAGGCAGCAGUGAGGAAUAUUGGUCAAUGGGCGGAAGCCUGAACCAGCCAAGUAGCGUGCAGGAUGACGGCCCUAUGGGUUGUAAACUGCUUUUAUACAGGAAUAAAGUUAGCCACGUGUGGUUAUUUGUAGGUACUGUAUGAAUAAGGACCGGCUAAUUCCGUGCCAGCAGCCGCGGUAA
rnacentral:rRNA from 1 species